AACGAACGCUGGCGGCAUGCCUAACACAUGCAAGUCGAACGAGACCUUCGGGUCUAGUGGCGCACGGGUGCGUAACGCGUGGGAACCUGCCCUUAGGUUCGGAAUAACUCCCCGAAAGGGGUGCUAAUACCGGAUAAUGUCUUCGGACCAAAGAUUUAUCGCCUUUGGAUGGGCCCGCGUUGGAUUAGCUAGUUGGUAGGGUAAAAGCCUACCAAGGCGACGAUCCAUAGCUGGUCUGAGAGGAUGCUCAGCCACACUGGCACUGAGACACGGCCCAGACUCCUACGGGAGGCAGCAGUGGGGAAUAUUGGACAAUGGGCGAAAGCCUGAUCCAGCAAUGCCGCGUGAGUGAUGAAGGCCUUAGGGUUGUAAAGCUCUUUUACCCGGGAUGAUAAUGACAGUACCGGGAGAAUAAGCUCCGGCUAACUCCGUG
rnacentral:rRNA from 1 species